ACAGCAGCAGCCGCGGUAAUACGUAGGGCGCAAGCGUUGUCCGGAAUUAUUGGGCGUAAAGAGCUCGUAGGCGGCUUGUCACGUCUGCUGUGAAAUCCCGGGGCUCAACCCCGGGCGUGCAGUGGAUACGGGCUGGCUAGAGGCAGGCAGGGGAGAACGGAAUUCCCGGUGUAGCGGUGAAAUGCGCAGAUAUCGGGAGGAACACCGGUGGCGAGGGCGGUUCUCUGGGCCUGUUCUGACGCUGAGGAGCGAAAGCGUGGGGAGCGAACAGGAUUAGAUACCCGCGUAGUCCCUGUCUCUUAUAC
rnacentral:rRNA from 1 species